GGUCGCAUAGCUCAGGGGUUAGAGCGAUUGCUUUACAUCGCCGCAUCGCGUGCGCAAUAGGUCGCAGGUUCGAUCCCUGCUGCGAUCA
rnacentral:tRNA from 1 species